rnacentral:rRNA from 1 species
AGUGAACGCUGGCGGUAGGCCUAACACAUGUAAGUCGAACGGCAGCACAGUAAGAGCUUGCUCUUACGGGUGGCGAGUGGCGGACGGGUGAGGAAUACAUCGGAAUCUACUUUUUCGUGGGGGAUAACGUAGGGAAACUUACGCUAAUACCGCAUACGACCUACGGGUGAAAGCAGGGGAUCUUCGGACCUUGCGCGAUUGAAUGAGCCGAUGUCGGAUUAGCUAGUUGGCGGGGUAAAGGCCCACCAAGGCGACGAUCCGUAGCUGAUCUGAGAGGAUGAUCAGCCACACUGGAACUGAGACACGGUCCAGACUCCUACGGGAGGCAGCAGUGGGGAAUAUUGGACAAUGGGCGCAAGCCUGAUCCAGCCAUACCGCGUGGGUGAAGAAGGCCUUCGGGUUGUAAAGCCCUUUUGUUGGGAAAGAAAAGCAGCAGGUUAAUACCCCGCUGUUCUGACGGUACCCAAAGAAUAAGCACCGGCUAACUUCGUG